rnacentral:tRNA from 1 species
UCCCUGAUGGUCUAGUUGUUAGGACUCUGCCCUUUCACUGCUGGGACCCAGGUUAGAGCCCUGGUCAGGAAU